rnacentral:rRNA from 1 species
UAUUGCACAAUGGGGGGGAACCCUGAUGCAGCAACGCCGCGUGGGUGAAGGAGUACCCCGGUACGUAAAGCCCUAUAGGAAGGGAAGAAGAUGACGGUAACUGACUAAGAAGCCCCGGCUAACUACGUGCCAGCAGCCGCGGUAAUACGUAGGGGGCAAGCGUUACCCGGAUUUACUGGGUGUAAAGGGAGCGCAGACGGCAGUGCAAGUCUGGAGUGAAAGCCCGGGGCUCAACCCCGGGACUGCUUUGGAAACUGCAUAGCUGGAGUGCUGGAGAGGCAAGCGGAAUUCCUAGUGUAGCGGUGAAAUGCGUAGAUAUUAGGAAGAACACCAGUGGCGAAGGCGGCUUGCUGGACAGUAACUGACGUUGAGGCUCGAAAGCGUGGGGAGCAAAC